GGGGAGGUCCAUAGUAGGCCAUGCACUGCCCUGCUCCCUUGGCCUUGGACAUCCACCUCCCCUUCGAUAAAGUGCUCCAGUGGGUGAAGCCUAUGGAGAGGCAGCGAACGGAUACACGCGAAGGCUGAACUCGGACCCUGAACUUGGGCCGACUAGGAAAGGCUCGCUCCGCCCUCCCUCAACACUACUGCGGCUGCGUCAGCGAGCUGCGGCCCACACUCAACAUGGCGGCGGCGGCGCCGGCGGCCUUCUGCCCUUCUCCAUCAUGGCGGUAACCGGACCCGCCUCCGUGGGCGCCGGAGUCAUGUGACCCACACAAUGGCUGAGCGCCUACUCCAGGCUUCCCGGCAACGCCGAGUGAAAGCCAUGACGGCCGCCGCGGGUUCGGCGGGCCAAGCCGCGGUGCCCCUGCUGCUGUGCGCGCUGCUGGCGCCCGGCGGCGCGUACGUGCUCGACGACUCCGACGGGCUGGGCCGGGAGUUCGACGGCAUCGGAGCGGUCAGCGGCGGCGGGGCCACCUCCCGACUUCUAGUAAAUUACCCAGAGCCCUAUCGUUCUCAAAUACUGGAUUAUCUCUUUAAGCCAAACUUUGGUGCCUCUUUGCAUAUUCUGAAAGUUGAAAUAGGUGGUGAUGGGCAGACAACAGAUGGCACCGAGCCCUCCCACAUGCACUAUGAAUUAGAUGAGAAUUAUUUCCGAGGAUAUGAGUGGUGGUUAAUGAAGGAAGCUAAGAAGCGGAACCCUAAUAUCACACUCAUGGGGCUGCCAUGGUCAUUCCCUGGAUGGCUGGGGAAAGGUUUCAACUGGCCUUAUGUAAAUCUUCAGCUGACUGCCUACUACGUCGUGACCUGGAUUGUGGGCGCCAAGCAUUAUCAUGAUCUGGACAUUGAUUAUAUCGGAAUUUGGAAUGAGAGGGCAUUUGACAUCAAUUAUAUCAAGGUGUUAAGAAGAAUGCUGAACUAUCAAGGUCUCCAGCAAGUGAAAAUCAUAGCAAGUGAUAAUCUCUGGGAGCCCAUUUCUGCUUCUAUGCUGCUUGACUCUGAGCUCUUGAAGGUGAUUGAUGUUAUAGGAGCUCAUUACCCUGGGACCCAUACAGUAAAGGAUGCUAGGUUGACUGGGAAGAAGCUUUGGUCUUCUGAAGAUUUUAGCACUUUAAAUAGUGAUGUGGGUGCAGGCUGCUGGGGUCGCAUAUUGAAUCAGAAUUAUAUCAAUGGCUACAUGACUGCCACAAUUGCUUGGAAUUUGGUGGCUAGUUACUAUGAACAGUUGCCGUACGGGCGUUGUGGACUGAUGACUGCUCAGGAGCCCUGGAGCGGGCACUAUGUAGUAGAAGCUCCUAUCUGGAUAGCAGCUCAUACCACUCAGUUUACUCAACCAGGUUGGUAUUACCUGAAGACAGUUGGCCAUUUAGAAAAAGGAGGAAGCUAUGUAGCUCUGACGGAUGGCUUAGGUAACCUCACCAUCAUCAUUGAAACUAUGAGUCAUAAGCAUUCCAUGUGUAUACGGCCACUUCUUCCCUAUUUCAAUGUUUCACAACAAUUUGCUACCUUCAUUCUUAAGGGUUCUUUUAGUGAAAUACCAGAGCUGCAGGUGUGGUAUACCAAACUUGGAAAACCAUCAGAGAGAUUUCUUUUCAAACAACUGGAUUCUCUAUGGCUCCUAGACAGCGGCGGCCGCUUCACGCUGGACCUGCAGGAGGACGGGCUGCUCACGCUCACCACGCUCAGCACCGGCAGCAAAGGCAGUCACCCGCUGCCUCCGAGGUCCCAGCCCUUUCCCCGCGUCUAUAAGGAUGACUUCAAUGUCGAUUACCCAUUUUUUAGUGAAGCUCCGAAUUUUGCUGAUCAGACUGGUGUAUUUGAAUACUUUAUGAAUAUUGAAGACCCUGGAGAGCAUCGCUUCACGCUGCGCCAGGUUCUCAAUCAAAGGCCCAUUACUUGGGCUGCUGAUGCAUUCAACACCAUCAGUAUUAUAGGAGAUUACAAAUGGUCCAAUUUGACUGUAAAGUGUGAUGUGUACAUAGAGACCCCUGAGAAGGGAGGUGUGUUCAUUGCUGGAAGAGUGAAUAAAGGUGGUAUUUUGAUUAGAAGUGCCAGGGGAGUUUUCUUCUGGAUAUUUGCAAAUGGAAUCUACAGAGUUACGGGUGAUCUAGCUGGAUGGAUCAUAUAUACUUCAGGACAUGCUGACGUUACAGCAAAAAAAUGGUAUACACUCACUUUAACUAUUAAUGGUGGUUUCUCUUCUGGCACGCUGAAUGGCAAGCCUCUCUGGAAGAACGUCUCUGUGAACUUCCCGAAGAAUGGCUGGGCUGCGAUUGGAACUCACUCCUUUGAAUUUGCACAGUUUGAUAACUUUCGUGUGGAAGCCAUACACUAAUACAGAGUGCCAUAGAACACUCUCUGGAUUUUCUUUCUUUUUGGUUUUGGUUCAGAGCCAUUUCUGGUUUUGAUGGAUCAAUAUAGGAGCCUUUUGGAAGCUACAAAUAAUGAAGAGUAAAUGAGGAGAAAAAUAUAUUUUUGCUUGAUCAUCUUGAAGAUUUUUUUUUUUAGAAUUCCAAGGGGAAACAGAUGAAUCUUUAAUAUGACCUGAUACGUCCCGUAGAUAGGACACUAGGUGACUGGAAGGAGGAAGAAAACCCUAUGUAGCCAGUGCUGUGAGUGGGUCCAAAGGUAAAAUUGUAGCAGUUUUCUUGUGUUUCAUUUCAUUGUGCCUUUCAUGGUGUGUCUUCUCUUGUGGCACUGGUGACAAACUGAAAUAACUAAUGAACACUUUUAUCUCCUCAUGCCUGGAAUAAAAGGAACACCUAUCUAGUUCAUAGAAUUGGAUCAUCCUCUAAUAUUUUGUGUGGUUAGAAGCAUUUCUUUUGUUAAAGUACAAAUAUAUUUAAGUAUAGGUGAGCAUAUUUCUCAUGCAGUAUAAUUUAUAUCUAAUCAUUAGUGUACCUCCUAGAAGCAAAUCAAUUAUUCAUGUGGAUAAAGUAAAUUCUGGAAUUUUUUAUAAUGAAAGUUUAAAACUAUUGAACUAAUUCUACAAUUUUGGAAUUUGUAGUGAUUUAAUGUAGACUAAACUGACAUGAAGUUUUGUAUUACUAUUGGAGACAAGAAGCUAAAUAUUAGAGUAAAUCAGAUUACAGAGAAAAUUUUAAAAUUAAAACCAAGUCUAAGUGAUUUCCAGUUUAGGUCCCUACAUAUUUUUUAAAAUUAACUUUAUUGAGGUAUAGCUUACAUACAAUAAAAUGUUCCCAUUUUAAGUUUACAGUUCAAUGAGUCUUGAUAAAUGGAUAUAACCAAGAUAUUGAACAUUUCCAUCACUCCAGAAAGUUCUCUUGUAUACCUGUGCAGUCAUUUCCCCUCAUCCCCACCCCAAUCCCAGGCAACCAUCAAUCUGAUUUCUAUUACUGUUGAUAAGUUUUCUUUGUUCCAAAACAUUAUAAAAGUGGCAUCAUACACUUUGUACCCUUUUAUGAAUGGUUUCUUUUACUCAGCAGAAAGUGUUUGAGAUUUGUUUAUGUGCUGUGUAUAUCAAAGGUUUGCUCCUAAUUUCAAAGAGUAUUCCAUUGAAGGGGUAUACCACAGUUUGUCCCCCCAAUUUUUGGUAUUACAAAUAAAGCUGUUGUGAACAUUUGUGUACAAGUCUUUGUGUGGACAUAUGUUUUCACUUUUUCUGGGUAAAUACCAAGGAGUGAAAUUGCUUGAUCUUUUUGGAAAGUGUAUGUUUAACUUUAUAAGAAACUAUCAAACUGUUUUCCAAAAUAAUUGUAUGAUUUUACACUCCCAUUAGAAAUGUUUGAGAGUUUCCGUUGCUCUGCAUUCUUGACAGUGCUUCCUAUUGUUAUUCUUUUUAAUUUUAACCCUUUCUUGUGAGCUUGUAGUAGGUGCAUUAGCUGCUGGGCAUCUUUUCAAGGACUUAUUUCUCAUUCAUAUAUUUUUUUUGUGAAAUGAUUGUUCCAAUCUUUUCCUUUUUUUUUUGUU